CAGCCUGAAGUGAUGAGUUUGGUUCAUGUCUCUUCUCUGAGAUUUGUGCUGGAGAUAGUCCAAUGACUCUGAUCAGGUG
ensembl:snoRNA